CGCGUGCAGGAUGAAGCAUCUAUGGUGUGUAAACUGCUUUUGUACGGGAAGAAACAACUCUUCGUGAAGAGUCUUGACGGUACCGUAAGAAUAAGGAUCGGCUAACUCCGUGCCAGCAGCCGCGGUAAUACGGAGGAUCCAAGCGUUAUCCGGAAUCAUUGGGUUUAAAGGGUCCGUAGGCGGUUUUAUAAGUCAGUGGUGAAAUCUGGUCGCUCAACGAUCAAACGGCCAUUGAUACUGUAGAACUUGAAUUACUUGGAAGUAACUAGAAUAUGUAGUGUAGCGGUGAAAUGCUUAGAGAUUACAUGGAAUACCAAUUGCGAAGGCAGGUUACUACAAGUGGAUUGACGCUGAUGGACGAAAGCGUGGGGAGCGAACAGGAUUAGAUACCCUGGUAGUCCACGCCGUAAACGAUGGAUACUAGCUGUUCGGAGCAAUCUGAGUGGCUAAGCGAAAGUGAUAAGUAUCCCACCUGGGGAGUACGAACGCAAGUUUGAAACUCAAAGGAAUUGACGGGGGCCCGCACAAGCGGAGGAGCAUGUGGUUUAAUUCGAUGAUACGCGAGGAACCUUACCAAGGCUUAAAUGGGAAACGACAGGUUUGGAAACAGACUUUUCUUCGGACGUUUUUCAAGGUGCUGCAUGGUUGUCGUCAGCUCGUGCCGUGAGGUGUCANGUUAAGUCCUAUAACGAGCGCAACCCCUGUUGUUAGUUGCCAGCGAGUCAUGUCGGGAACUCUAGCAAGACUGCCAGUGCAAACUGUGAGGAAGGUGGGGAUGACGUCAAAUCAUCACGGCCCUUACGCCUUGGGCUACACA
rnacentral:rRNA from 1 species